rnacentral:sRNA from 1 species
CUUUCUCCCCGCCGCAUGCCCGGUGUCGUCUUACUAGCUGCAAGCCUCUGCCUGCCUUCCUGCGCGCCGUUCCCCGCUAGUCGCUGCUGCUGGCGCGCACUCGCCGGGUUUUUCCUCCCACGGCCUCGAGAUGGUCGUGAAUGUGGCACGGAGGAGCCGGGCCUUCCAACCCGGUGGGCCCGAGCUCCGAAAGGCCCCCUCGGCAGUGAGAGGGGCGGGAGCCCGCGGGGGCCGCGCCCUUCUCUCGCUUCGGACUGCGCAACGCUGCGCUCUGUGCUGACAGGCGGAUAAAACGGUCCCAUCAAGGCUGAGAAAAAGCACACCAGAUAUUGGCACAGCGUGGGCAGUGGGGCCUACAGGAUGACUUAGUCUACAGAGAUCCCGGCGUACUUAAGCAGGUAGUAAUGAUGGACAGAUGAAGACUCUUAAGAUGACAGAAGGUGAUUUUUCUGGUGAUCGAGGAGUUCCGGGGUCAUGACAGUGAUGAAAUGCAGGGGACCUGGUUGCCCCCAAGUUUCCUGGCAGUGUGUGAUACUGAGGAGGUGAGCUUGUUUCUGGAGCUGUGCUUUAAGGUAAAGUUGAUCAGCUUAAUCCUCCUGAUCCCUUUCCCAUCGGAUCUGAACACUGGUCUUGGUGGUCGUAAAAGGAGGAAAAGUAAUAGUGAAGCUGGCCUAAAUGUUGUAAUCUGGUAUAUGGCAUGUGGGCUAGUUUCAGACAGGUUCAGAGAUGGUUGGAUCUCUGAAAUUGUAAAAUGAAGUAUAAUCUUAGGCUAAGGGAAGGAUGCGUGUGAAGUUCUGGAGGUUGGUAUGAUAAUAGCUGACCUAUUACUGCAUUUGGGAGGGAUCUGUCAUAGCUUCCUUGCCUCUUAAUUAAGGGUGGUGUUUUUUUCUUUUAGAUUCAUGUUACAUGUAAAGCUGUCCUCAUUUGUGACUAUGGACCUAUGGAGUUGGGACAAUCUCUAUGGGAAGCAGAAGGCAAGGACCCCAGUCAUUUUAGGUAGAAACAACAGCAUGCUAAUGCAAAAAAUUAUGCAGUGUGCUACUGAACUUCAGAGGUGAUCAAUAAAAGAAUAAAAAGACUAAUAAAAGUA